GUCUGCUGGACUCCCCUGGUGUUUAUCCCGCUGGUGGUUGCCGUGGUGACCGUGGUGACCGUGCUCUGUGUCUGGGGGCUCUGCUACAGGAGAGCCACCUGCAGAAACUGUGCGAGACACGAUGACAGCAUGAAGACAGGGAAUUUGCACUAUGCCAGUCUUCACCUUCCCAAAAAACCCCGUCACUCAAAGCAAAGAGUGACCCCGCCCCUUCCUAGUGACAUCAUCUAUGCUUCAGUAGCUCUCCAGCCUCCAACCAAUCAGAACCCCUGAGGCGUCCAGAUGAUGUCAGGCUGAUUCUACUACUGUCCUUCUGUUCCUACUCAAUCUGUAUUUUUACUGAACUUGUGUGUGUUUGUAUGUGUGCUUGUGUGUGGGUGUGUAUGUGUGCAUGUGCAUGUGUGGUGUGGGUGUGCAGGUAUAUUUUACACUUUCCUAUGCAAUACACUUAUGAUUUAAUUACAUGGCUAGAUUUCUAUAUUGAGCCAUUUUCUUCUGUGAAACCGGUUAUAAGCUCGAUGUUAUCCAGUACAUGGACUGCAAUAGCU